rnacentral:rRNA from 1 species
UACAGAGGGUGCAAGCGUUAAUCGGAAUUACUGGGCGUAAAGCGCGCGUAGGUGGUUUGUUAAGUUGAAUGUGAAAUCCCCGGGCUCAACCUGGGAACUGCAUGCAAAACUGGCAAGCUAGAGUAUGGUAGAGGGUGGUGGAAUUUCCUGUGUAGCGGUGAAAUGCGUAGAUAUGGGAAGGAACACCAGUGGCGAAGGCGACCACCUGGACUGAUACUGACACUGAGGUGCGAAAGCGUGGGGAGCAAACAGG